rnacentral:rRNA from 1 species
UACAGAGGUCUCGAAGCGUUUGUUCGGAUUCAUUGGGCGUAAAGGUGCGUAGGGCGGCGCGGUAAGUCGGGUGUGAAAUCUUGGAGCUUAACUCCGAAACUGCAUUCGAUACUGCCGGUGCUUGAGGACUGGAGAGGAGACUGGAAUUUACGGUGUAGCGGUGAAAUGCGUAGAUAUCGUAAGGAAGUACCAGGUGGCGGAAGGCUGGGUCUCUGGACAGUUCCU